rnacentral:rRNA from 1 species
GAAUCGCUAGUAAUCGCGGAUCAGCAUGCCGCGGUGAAUACGUUCCCGGGCCUUGUACACACCGCCCGUCACACCAUGAGAGUUUGUAACACCCAAAGCCGGUGAGAUAACCUUCGGGAGUCAGCCGUCUAAGGUGGGACAGAUGAUUAGGGUGAAGUCGUAACAAGGUAGCCGUAGGAGAACCUGCGGCUGGAUCACCUCCUUU